GUAGCGGGAACGGGAGAGGGAGCUGGAGCUGCAGCCGGAGCCGGGCGCGGGGCUUUUCUCAGUAUGCAGUCCUUUUAGAUCUGGGCGUGAUAACUAAUCACAUCCUGCACAUUGGACACUUGGCUUUCAUCUCCAUAUAUUCCUGCUUUUCUGAAGGAUACAAUCUCACAUUGUCCUGGACUGGAGCAGUAAAGGAUAAAUCUGAUCACUGGCUGACUUGUCAUCUCUUUGUAGUGAUGGACAAAUGGUCGCCUAAAACAACCCUUUUGUUAUGCUGCUAAAACUACCUUUGAAUCCAAGAUCUGUUGUGAUU
rnacentral:lncRNA from 14 species